AUCCACUUAAGUUUAAAUAUAAAUAAAGAUUAAAAAAAUAUCUCAUGAUAAAAAUUGAAAUAUACUAGUGAGAUACCACUCUAUAAGAGCUAGAAUUCUAACCUUGUGUCAAGACCUAUGGGUCAAGGGACGCUCUCAAGUAGACAAUUUUUAUGAGCUACAUCUCCUGCGGGCCGGAUGAAAAUUGACCCUCAAGUGCAAAGGAAAAAAUGAGAUUGACUACGAGACCCACCCAUCGAGUAGGGACGAAAGUCAACCUUAAUGAUCUCACGAUGCUAAGUGGAAGGGCCAAUCACUUAAUGGAUAAAAGUUCCUUUAGGGAUAAUAGGUUGAUCUUCCCCGAGAGUUCACAUCGACGAGAAGGUUUGAUACCUCAAUGUUGACUCUUCGCCACCUAGGGCAAUAAUACGUUCCAAGGGUUGGAUUGUUUUCCCAUUAAAGCAGUACAUGAACUAGGUUCAAAAUGUCAUGAGACAACUCAAUC
rnacentral:ncRNA from 1 species